rnacentral:rRNA from 1 species
GUCCCAGCAGCCGCGGAAAUACGUAGGUGGCAAGCGUUAUCCGGAAUUAUUGGGCGUAAAGCGCGCCUAGGCGGAAUUUUAAGUCUGAUGUGAAAGCCCACGGGUCAACCGUGGAGGGUCAUUGGAAACUGGAAAACUUGAGUGCAGAAGAGGAAAGUGGUAUUCCAUGUGUAGCGGUGAAAUGCGCAGAGAUAAGGAGGAACACCAGUGGCGAAGGCGACUUUCUGGUCUGUAACUGACGCUGAUGUGCGAAAGCGUGGGGAUCAAACAGGAUUAGAUACCCUCGUAGUCC